CAAGUCGAACGGUUGUAGCGAUACAGCAGUGGCAGACGGGUGAGUAACACGUGGGAACCUUCCUAGGGGUACGGAACAACUCAGGGAAACUUGAGCUAAUACCGUAUGUGUCCGAGAGGAGAAAGAUUUAUCGCCCUUAGACGGGCCCGCGUCGGAUUAGCUAGUUGGUGGGGUAACGGCCUACCAAGGCGACGAUCCGUAGCUGAUCUUAGAGGAUGAUCAGCCACACUGGGACUGAGACACGGCCCAGACUCCUACGGGAGGCAGCAGUGGGGAAUCUUGGACAAUGGGCGCAAGCCUGAUCCAGCCAUGCCGCGUGAGUGAAGAAGGUCUUCGGAUUGUAAAGCUCUUUUGCCAGGGACGAUAAUGACGGUACCUGGAGAAUAAGCCCCGGCAAACUUCGUGCCAGCAGCCACGGUAAUACGAAGGGGGCUAGCGUUGUUUGGAAUUACUGGGCGUAAAGCGCACGUAGGCGGGCCGUUAAGUCAGGGGUGAAAUCCCGGAGCUCAACUCCGGAACUGCCUUUGAUACUGGCGGUCUCGAGAUCGGAAGAGGUGAGUGGAAUUCCCAGUGUAGAGGUGAAAUUCGUAGAUAUUGGGAAGAACACCGGUGGCGAAGGCGGCUCACUGGUCCGAUACUGACGCUGAGGUGCGAAAGCGUGGGGGAGCAAACAGGAUUAGAUACCCUGGUAGUCCACGCCGUAAACUAUGGAAGCUAGCCGUCAGUCAGCUUGCUGAGUGGUGGCGCAGCUAACGCAUUAAGCUUCCCGCCUGGGGAGUACGGUCGCAAGAUUAAAACUCAAAGGAAUUGACGG
rnacentral:rRNA from 1 species